AAGACCAGUGUGCAGUUGCAGAACAUCGGCUCGAUUUCAAAUCUUUCCAACAUUCCCGACUCUUCCGUUCCCUUACUCUGAAGCAGGACAGGACAUCCCAUCUGUGGAUAGGCAGGAGAAGUGUGACCACCACAGACAGCAGCAGCACCACCGCCGCCUCCGCCAGCACCACCACCACCACCACCACCGCCACCACCCACAGACAUGUCGGACUCUGAGACCAUCGCUCCCGUUGAGGCCCCCGUCCCGGCCGCCUGCGCCGAGAUCAAGGCCAACCUGGAUAAGUGUGUGGCAGCGAACGGAGCCGAAGGCUGCAAGGACCUGUUGGAGGCCUUCGCCGCCUGUGUGAAGAGCGCGGCCGCCGAGACGUCGUGAAGACCGCCGCUCCUACCGCAAACGUCCACUGCACUGAGUCCUCCCAGUUCCCUGCAUUCCCUUCUGCACAACAGCACUGGACUGAACGACUUCUCUGGCGGCGUGAUGAGGAUCGUGUCGACCUCGGGCCGGAGGUUCGGAAUCUGGCGGCUGAAGCACCUCGACUUUAACCGUUCUCCAACCCCCCCCCCUCCCCCCCCCCGCCUCCUCUCCCCACCACCCCUCUGUUUUAGGAUAUAAUGGUGUCUUCCAACGUCUCCCCCACUGUAAACCCCCUUUCCUCUCCCCAGUAUGUGGAUACGAUGCGUUUGAAUUGUAUGCAGUUCCAGAGAGACCAUGAGGAUUUCAUGUAUAUUGUUGACUUGAAAUUAAUACAUUUAAAUGGAAAUAAAGAGUUUAAAAAAGAAUUGG